rnacentral:rRNA from 1 species
UGCCCUUUAGACGGGGACAACAUUCCGAAAGGAGUGCUAAUACCGGAUGUGAUCAUCUUGCCGCAUGGCAGGAUGAAGAAAGAUGGCCUCUACAAGUAAGCUAUCGCUAAAGGAUGGGCCUGCGUCUGAUUAGCUAGUUGGUAGUGUAACGGACUACCAAGGCGAUGAUCAGUAGCCGGUCUGAGAGGAUGAACGGCCACAUUGGGACUGAGACACGGCCCAAACUCCUACGGGAGGCAGCAGUGGGGAAUCUUCCGCAAUGGACGAAAGUCUGACGGAGCAACGCCGCGUGAGUGAUGAAGGAUUUCGGUCUGUAAAGCUCUGUUGUUUAUGACGAACGUGCAGUGUGUGAACAAUGCAUUGCAAUGACGGUAGUAAACGAGGAAGCCACGGCUAACUACGUGCCAG